rnacentral:miRNA from 1 species
GAGGUUUUUUAUUCCUUUUU